AUUGAACGCUGGCGGCAGGCCUAACACAUGCAAGUCGAACGAGUGGCGGACGGGUGAGUAGUGUCUGGGAAACUGCCUGAUGGAGGGGGAUAACUACUGGAAACGGUAGCAAAUACCGCAUACCAUCGGAUGUGCCCAGAUGGGAUUAGCAUGUAGGUGGGGUAAAGGCUAACCUCGGCGACGAUCCCUAGCUGGUCUGAGAGGGUGACCGGCCACACUGGAACGGAGACACGGUCCAGACCCCUACGGGAGGCAGCAGGGGGGAAUAUUGCACAAUGGGCGCAAGCCUGAUGCAGCCAUGCCGCGUGUAUGAAGAAGGCCUUCGGGUUGUAAAGUACUUUCAGCGGGGAGGCGUUACCCGCAGAAGAAGCACCGGCUAACUCCGUGCCAGCAGCCGCGGUAAUAC
rnacentral:rRNA from 1 species